UACGGAGGGGGGCUAGCGUUGUCCGGAAUUAUUGGGCGUAAAGAGUUCGUAGGCGGUUGCCUAAGUCUGAUGUUAAAUACUGGAGCUCAACUCCGGCAUGGCAUUGGAAACUGGGUAGCUAGAGUGUGGUAGAGGUCUCGGGGAAUUCCAGGUGUAGCGGUGAAAUGCGUAGAUAUCUGGAGGAACACCGGUGGCGAAAGCGCGAGACUGGGCCAUAACUGACGCUGAGGAACGAAAGCCAGGGGAGCGAAAGGG
rnacentral:rRNA from 1 species